GUGGGGAAUAUUGGACAAUGGGCGAAAGCCUGAUCCAGCCAUGCCGCGUGUGUGAAGAAGGUCUUCGGAUUGUAAAGCACUUUAAGUUGGGAGGAAGGGCAGUAAGUUAAUACCUUGCUGUUUUGACGUUACCGACAGAAUAAGCACCGGCUAACUUCGUGCCAGCAGCCGCGGUAAUACGAAGGGUGCAAGCGUUAAUCGGAAUUACUGGGCGUAAAGCGCGCGUAGGUUGUUUUGUAAGUUGGAGGUGAAAUCCCCGGGCUCAACCUGGGAACUUCCUCCAAAACUGCAUGACUAGAGUACGGUAGAGGGUAGUGGAAUUUCCUGUGUAGCGGUGAAAUGCGUAGAUAUAGGAAGGAACACCAGUGGCGAAGGCGACUACCUGGACUGAUACUGACACUGAGGUGCGAAAGCGUGGGGAGCAAACAGGAUUAGAUACCCCGGUAGUCC
rnacentral:rRNA from 1 species